rnacentral:rRNA from 1 species
UCGGGAAUUUUGGGCAAUGGGCGAAAGCCUGACCCAGCAACGCCGCGUGAGGGAUGAAGUAUUUCGGUAUGUAAACCUCGAAAGAAUGGGAAGAAUAAAUGACGGUACCAUUUUUAAGCUCCGGCUAACUACGUGCCAGCAGCCGCGGUAAUACGUAGGGAGCAAGCGUUGUUCGGCUUUACUGGGCGUAAAGGGCGCGUAGGCGGCGCGGUAAGUCACUUGUGAAAUCUCUGAGCUUAACUCAGAACGGCCAAGUGAUACUGCUGUGCUAGAGUGCGGAAGAGGCAACCGGAAUUCGUGGUGUAGCGGUGAAGUGCGUAGAUAUCAAGAGGAACACCUGAGGCGAAGGCGGGUUGCUGGGCCGACACUGACGCUGAUGCGCGAAAGCCAGGGGAGCAAACG